rnacentral:lncRNA from 1 species
AGGCGUUCCAAUCAUGCUGCAGCUGCUGCCUUGUCCGAGAGGCUUUGGGCUUUUAUUGUUUCAAGCUGCUCAAGCUGCUCCAAGCUUUAUUUUAGGCCCUACAACACAAAGUGUAAUUGUUUUAGUUUAGAGAAGAAGGAUUAGUAUAAGUCACCUUCCAUAGAAGCAAAAUGAUAGGUGAUCCUUCUUCCUCUUGAAUCUUCUUAGCCAUGGCUCUAGUAAGAGGUCCAAUAUAGUUCCUUGAUGGUCUUCCAUCAGUCGGGGUCGUAUCUGAUAAUCUGCCCCCUCACGUAGCUCAUAUACC